GGGAACCUAGUACUUUAAUAAUUUCCUAUGAUAUUUAUUAGAGCAAAAUGUACAUCCGCGAUGGUACGGUAUGUAGUCCUUUAAGACCAGAAGGUAUGUUAACUGCACCGUCAUUAAGCAGUCUAUCCUAUUUUCUUAUUUAUUUGUUAGAGUUGAAUCCUUUUUGUUUAAUAUCUGUACCAUUCCUAUGAUGGUAGCCAUUUUUCUCUUUAUAAAAUAUUUCUUCUUUGGAAAGUGUCCUAAAAAUUUAAUUUCAAAUCUCCUCUUGGAUGCAAACUGUCCCUAAGACCAUCCACUCAACAGUAUUUAUGUAAGCCAACUUACUAGUGCCACUACAACUAAUCAUGAUACAUAGUCCAGAAUCUCCCAGGACUUUUUACUGGGCCAGCCUCAUUGUCCCUAGGAUUUCUCUUUUUAUGUCUCAUGGAUUACUUCUCUUUUUAAUUGCCCCAGGCCCAUUCCAAAUGAGAACCUGGUAAAAGUCACAUUGGAUCCCAUUCAGUAUGUCUUCGGCUAAUGUGUUAGCCUUCAAUAAGGUGAUAACCCCUUUUCAACCUAUCUAGUCUAUAAAGAGGAAAAACUCAAAUUUGAAGUUCUAAUCUUAUUUCUCCCAAAGGGAACUAUUCUUCUACCCCAUGGUUCUAGGAGACCACUUCACUGUGCAACAGUUUUAUAUGUAUUGUGGAUGGAGGAUAUUUUAUUCUGAACUGUGACAUUUGGGUAAAAAUAUUUUCUGCAGUGGUAACUGAUUAGAAAAAUUCAAUUGAAUGCCCUUAGGUGGAGGUGAAAGCGGUAUCCUUGCCUUCCUCUCAAUAUGAAACAUUAACUAGUUGACAAAUUUAUCCUUGUAGUAAUGAAAAUAUAUUUAAUCAGGGACCAGAAAUGGCAGAGGAGAUAAAUGCAUCAUUACAAAAUUCUGCUUUUGAAUCCUGGACAUUACAAAGGGGGUAAAUGCAGCAUGACUUUUUGUUAACCACAUUCCAAAAUGUGGAACAUUUCUCUUAGAAAUGAAAAUAUUUCAAGGCUGAUGUAUUUUAAGACUACACAUUAUCAGGAAGCAUACAUUGAGAGUUUGCUUAAUUAAAGGUUGUUGGGCAUCAAAUUAUGUUUAGUAGGUUACUAUUCUCUUAACAACUCAAGGAUGCUUUAAUGGAUCUGAAUUUGACAAAGAGCAUGCCACACUAAUACUACAGUCAACAACAGCCCAGAGAACAAUUACUAUGUCAGCUGGAGGCUAUACUGAUUCUAAAUUCUUAAAGGUUUUUUUCCCUCCAUAAAUCAAAAAUUACCUUAUGUAAACCAAAAAUUAGUUGGUAUUUAUGGUCAUGAUCUUAAUUCUCAAAUUUAGCUUAAUCUUGUAUUUCAUUGUUUGUCUUCUAAUGACAGCUUAGAUUCAGAUUUUUAAGUGGCUCAGCAAAAUAGGAGGAGUGUCCCAAUUUAUUAUGUUGUACAUAUUGAGGAAAACCUUUUUGUUCCUUCAGAUUUAGAAAGAAACAGUUUAACCAUUUAUUUCUUGGUAUUCUGCUGCUGUGAACAGGUUUACUUAUUCUUUUAACAUAUAUUGUGUGACUACACAAGUAUAGGUCCUGUUGUAUUGCACAUCAAUCUUUACCAGUAAAUAAACAUCACAAGGUUAAUAUUGGUUUGGCUGAAAGAAUUAUGCAGUAAAGUUAUUUAUAAGGGAACAUGAUGACUUUAUUCAAUAUUUUUCUUCUUUGAAACAUCUCAUUACUGUUAAAAUUAUUUCAUAAUCCCUUAUACAUGAGCCAAUGAAAUAUUUUGAGCUCUACUUAAGCAUGAAAUCUAUAUUAUAAAUCUAAACAACAAAAGCACUUGUAACUUGUUUAGUAAAUUCCAUGCCUUAUUUUCCAUUUUUGACACCGUAAAGUGCAUUUUCUGUCGACUGUGAGCAAAUUUCCCUUUUGCCUUUAAUGAAAAUAGUGCAUUAAGUAGCCAAUUGCUGCAGAAUUAUAAAGCAAGUUAGCUAACGGUGGGUCACAUUGGACUACCACUCAAAGAAACAAGAUGCAUAACAGAUGGAAGGUACAUGUGGUGUGGCUUAGGGAGAGCGCACCUGUGCCAGAUGCAUGCCACUUUCAGUAGCUGCCAAAUGUGCCUUUAAUUAAGAACAUCUCUAAUUUUUUUCUUCAGAUCAAGUCAGCAUUUGGGGGCGGGAUUUGGGCAGGGAACUUUGGGGUGCAAAUAUCUGGUGAAACCACCAGAGAAUUUGGUUGUCAAAGUGACAUGUAUAAUUUUAGUUGAGACGUGUUUGUGUAUAUAUGUGUAUUUGCCUUUGUUUAGUAGCACGGUUAUUUGCUAAAAUAAUUGUCAAAAAAAUUGCUCUGUCGGUCUUACUUUGAUGUAAGAACAAAGUGUGGUCUAUACAUCUAAUAUGGCCUUUGUACCUAACCAUGUUCAUAGGUAAUCUUUGUACUCUGUGUGCAGCAGUAUUUGGUUUGCAUUUAAAGUGAAAAUAACGGCUGUUAUUUUUCUGGCAUUACUAAGAUAAACUGAAAAAUAAUAAAGAAAAAUGCCUUACAUAG
rnacentral:lncRNA from 1 species